rnacentral:rRNA from 1 species
GAGUUUGAUCAUGGCUCAGAUUGAACGCUGGCGGCAUGCCUUACACAUGCAAGUCGAACGGCAGCAUGAUCUAGCUUGCUAGAUUGAUGGCGAGUGGCGAACGGGUGAGUAAUACAUCGGAACGUGCCCUGUAGUGGGGGAUAACUAGUCGAAAGAUUAGCUAAUACCGCAUACGACCUGAGAGUGAAAGUGGGGGACCGCAAGGCCUCAUGCUAUAGGAGCGGCCGAUGUCUGAUUAGCUAGUUGGUGGGGUAAAGGCCCACCAAGGCGACGAUCAGUAGCUGGUCUGAGAGGACGAUCAGCCACACUGGGACUGAGACACGGCCCAGACUCCUACGGGAGGCAGGCAGUGGGGAAUUUUGGACAAUGGGCGAAAGCCUGAUCCAGCAAUGCCGCGUGUGUGAG